rnacentral:rRNA from 1 species
CAGUCGCCGCGGUAAUACGGAGGGGGCUAGCGUUGUUCGGAAUUACUGGGCGUAAAGCGCACGUAGGCGGCUUGGUAAGUUAGAGGUGAAAGCCUGGAGCUCAACUCCAGAAUUGCCUUUAAGACUGCCGAGCUAGCAGGUGAGAGAGGUAAGUGGAAUUCCGAGUGUAGAGGUGAAAUUCGUAGAUAUUCGGAAGAACACCAGUGGCGAAGGCGGCUUACUGGCUCAUACUGGACGCUGAGGUGCGAGAGCGUGGGGAGCAAACAGGAUUAGAUACCCGAGUAGUCCCUGUCUCUUAUAC